GGGCAGCAUAGCCAGCAGCAGUAGUCCACCUCACCAGCAGUCGUCAUCAACAACAUCGGCAGCCGUUUUAUUAAAGAAAAAAUAAAAACAAGAAUAAUCAUU